GCCUUUCAGCCUCUUCCGCUUUCCUGCUCAGCUUCUAAUGAAUUGAAAUCUCUGAGAGCCGCCAAGGCUCUGCUAGUUUUCUGAAAGUGUCCUUGCUCGCUCUCUCUGUAUUUGUCCAGUCAAGGGUAUCUUUCCCUGAGGUCAGAGUGGUGCCGUUAGUCCGGGGUAAUAUGAUUGCAUAGCAACACAGAGCCGCUCGGCAAGGGGAGGAGGAGAAGAAGGAGGGCAGGGAGGUGGGAGAAGCAGAGGGAGAGUGUGCACACAGCAGCUGUCGGCAUCCUUGUCUCAGGGACUUCUUUGCUGAUUCACAGAGGGAGUCCAGCCCAGGCCUCCCAGCUUCCAGUUGUUGCCUGCUCCUCAGACUCUGACAGAAUCUGAAGGUAUUUAUGCUUAACGGUCAGUGCACAGCCCAUCACCGCCCUCCAUGAGCCUUGGUUCUAAUGCAACCUAUGGUCAUGCAGGGAUGCCCUUACACCCUCCCACGAUGUCAUGAGUGGCGGGCAACUGAUCGCUUCCAUCACAGCAGCAGCCUCCGAAGCUCCUGCCCUCAACCUCAGGUUAGAGAUCCUGUCAGUGCCCCCACGCCUCCUGAGGAUGGUGCCGGGGUUCCCUGCCUAAGCCCAAAGUUGUUCAAAGGGUCUGUUGAUGCCGCUGGACCCUUGGAUAUACCAGCCAUGAAUCUAUGUUGGAAUGAAAUCAAAAAGAAAUCUCACAAUCUUCGUGCUCGCCUUGAAGCUUUUUCAGACCACAGUGGAAAGCUUCAGCUCCCACUCCAAGAGAUUAUAGACUGGCUCAGCCAAAAGGAUGAGGAACUGUCCGCUCAGCUGCCCCUACAAGGUGAUGUGGCCCUGGUGCAGCAGGAAAAGGAGACGCAUGCGGCUUUUAUGGAAGAUGUCAAGUCUCGGGGCCCCUAUAUCUACUCUGUGCUGGAGUCAGCUCAAACCUUCCUGUCCCAGCAUCCAUUUGAGGAAUUAGAAGAGCCUCAUUCUGAAAGCAAAGAUACCUCUCCCAGACAACGGAUCCAGAAUCUUAGCCGCUUUGUAUGGAAACAGGCAACAGUGGCCAGCGAACUGUGGGAGAAGCUGACUGCCCGCUGUGUGGACCAGCAUCGUCACAUUGAACGUACUCUAGAGCAGCUGUUAGAGAUACAAGGGGCAAUGGAGGAAUUAAACACUACCCUAACCCAAACUGAGGGAGUCCGAAACACUUGGGAGCCCAUUGGGGAUCUCUUCAUUGAUUCUCUCCCUGAGCACAUCCAGGUUCUUAAGCUAUUCAAAGAAGAAUUCUCCCCCAUAAAAGAUGGAGUGAAGUUGGUGAAUGAUCUUGCCCAUCAACUUGCCAUUUCUGAUGUGCACUUAUCAAUGGAGAAUUCUCGGGCCCUGGAACAGAUCAACGUCCGAUGGAAACAGCUGCAGGUGUCCGUUGGUGAAAGGCUCAAGCAGCUGCAGGAUGCCCACCGGGACUUUGGGCCCGGGUCACAGCACUUCCUCUCCUCCUCUGUUCAGGUUCCCUGGGAAAGAGCAAUUUCACCCAAUAAAGUUCCCUACUACAUCAAUCACCAGGCUCAGACCACAUGCUGGGACCAUCCCAAGAUGACAGAGUUAUAUCAAACCCUAGCUGAUUUGAACAACAUUAAGUUCUCAGCUUACCGUACUGCCAUGAAGCUACGUAGAGUCCAGAAGGCAUUGCGUUUGGACUUGGUAACUUUAGCUACAGCCCUAGAGAUCUUCAACGAGCAUGAUCUGCAGACCAGUGAGCAUGUGAUGGAUGUGGUGGAAGUCAUUCAUUGUCUGACUGCUUUAUAUGAACGGCUAGAGGAGGAAAGAGGCAUCCUGGUCAACGUACCACUCUGUGUAGACAUGAGCCUCAACUGGCUCCUCAAUGUUUUUGAUAGUGGUCGCAGUGGAAAGAUACGGGCCUUAUCCUUUAAGACUGGCAUUGCAUGCCUCUGUGGCACAGAAGUGAAAGAAAAACUUCAGUACCUCUUCAGCCAAGUGGCCAACUCAGGCAGCCAGUGUGACCAGCGCCAUCUUGGUGUCCUGCUUCAUGAAGCCAUUCAGGUGCCCCGUCAGCUGGGGGAAGUGGCAGCCUUUGGAGGCAGCAAUGUGGAACCCAGUGUCCGUAGUUGCUUCCGUUUUAGCACUGGGAAGCCAGUCAUUGAAGCUUCACAGUUCCUUGAAUGGGUCAACUUGGAGCCCCAGUCCAUGGUAUGGCUGGCUGUUCUGCAUCGGGUUACCAUUGCUGAGCAAGUGAAACAUCAGACCAAGUGCUCUAUCUGUAGGCAGUGCCCUAUUAAAGGCUUCAGGUACCGGAGUCUGAAACAAUUUAAUGUGGACAUCUGCCAGACCUGCUUCUUGACAGGCCGAGCCAGCAAAGGAAACAAGUUGCAUUACCCCAUCAUGGAGUAUUACACCCCAGCUACAUCCAGUGAGAACAUGAGGGACUUUGCCACAACUUUAAAGAACAAAUUCCGUUCAAAGCACUAUUUCAGCAAACACCCUCAACGAGGUUAUCUGCCAGUGCAAUCAGUGUUGGAAGCCAACUAUAGUGAGACGCCCGCUUCCUCACCAAUGUUGCCUCAUGCUGACACACACUCCCGAAUUGAACAUUUUGCCAGCAGGCUUGCUGAGAUGGAAAGCCAGAAUUGUUCCUUCUUUAAUGACAGCCUGUCCCCAGAUGACAGCAUAGACGAGGACCAGUACCUUCUGCGGCACUCCAGUCCCAUAACCGAUCGGGAACCAGCCUUUGGACAGCAGGCUUCAUGUGGCAUGGCCACCGAAAACAAGGGAGAGCUUGAGAAGAUCUUGGCCCACUUAGAGGAUGAGAACCGGAUUCUCCAGGGAGAACUGAGGCGCUUAAAGUGGCAGCAUGAAGAGGCUGUGGAGGCACCAACCCUGGCUGUGGGCUCUGCUGAUGUGGCACAGGACCACAGCAAUGAGGAGCUUCUGGCUGAGGCUCGGAUCCUUCGGCAGCACAAGAGCCGCCUGGAGACACGCAUGCAGAUCCUGGAGGACCACAACAAGCAAUUAGAAUCACAGCUGCAGCGCUUAAGGGAGCUGCUGCUGCAACAACCCACUGAAUCAGAAGGCAAUGGCUCUGCAGGCUCUUCACUAGCUUCCUCUCCACAGCAGUCAGAAGGUAGUCACCCUCAAGAGAAAGGACAGACUACUCCAGACACUGAAGCUGCAGAUGAUGUGGGAUCAAAGAGCCAAGAUGUCAGCCUGUGCCUAGAAGACAUCAUGGAGAAACUCCGCCAUGCCUUCCCCAGUGUGCGAAGCUCUGAUGUGACUGCCAGCACCCUGCUGGCCUCCUGAUGGAGUCAGAACCCAUCCCAGAGUCUACAGUCCUCUUCCCUUUCUGGUCCAAGUCUUCCUUCAGUCUUCACUCAACCUUUCCAGUCCCCACUGCCCCCACAUUCCUCAGAGUUAUUUGGGCUCUGGGCAGCAGAUGGAAUCUAAUGGCAAGUGAAGUAGGAGUGGGGGAGCUCGAGAGGGGAGUGACAUAAUUCUUCCAAUUCUAGAAAUCUGCCCUUUAAUCUUCAAGUUUUAGACUGCCCCUUAAGUACACUUUAGUUGCAGCACAGGCAAAUGGCACCCAAAGGUCAUUCAGAUGGGGAGCAAAGAAGCUGCUAGUAGAACUAAUCAGUGUCCAUAAGUCCCUGUCCCUUCUUCAUGGAAAUAUAGAGAUGAGAAAGCCUAAUGACCCUUAGGUUUCCAGUAUUACAAAUCCACAGGUGUGAUUCUUACUCUCUGGUCCAAUGAAUGCAGGCAAAAGGUUAUCCCUAAAACAUCCCAUCAAAAGUGCCCCUGAAAAAAAUCUGUCUUGUUACUUUAGCUUGAAGGCAUACCUCUAGCCAUAUUAAGGCUACAUAGAUGUGUGGGUUUUUUUUCUGUUAUCUUCAGUCUCUUCUGCCUCCACUUACUGGGUAGGCCUUUAUCAAGGAGGGAAUAGUUAAUUCUGGUCCCUCCUUCUACAGUACACUUGGAAACAUAAAGUAAAUUGUUAUGAGCGUAAGCUUUCUCCCUUACACUCCUCUUCCCUUAAAUCUUCAACAUCCUGAGACAACCAACUGAGAAUCCAGAUGAAUCCUCCUUUGGCUCUUCUGUGUCUGCUCUCAGAGCCCUGGGAGAGUUCUUGAUUUCCUUAGGUGAGAAAAGGGAAUCUACCCUCUAGCUUGGAAGAAUCUGACUACUUAACUGCCUUGCAUAUUACGACUUUAACUCUUAAGUUGAAUGAGAUGAGGUAGCUGUUUGUCCACAGCAAGUCACAAGCAAUCAGCUACCGUGUCUAGGAACCACUGGUCACUCUCCUCCCAGACAACAGCAGGGUCUUUCCUAUGCAUAAAAAUGUUCUAAUUCUGGAAAGUGAACCCAACCUUCAACUGAACUAACUCUUGCUAGGCAACAUUUAUCAUGCUCUUUUUUAUCCAAAAACUAUUCAGAGUAGAUAGUGAGGGAGUAGAAGGAGUGGGCUUAGAACUUUGAGCAGAGUUAGAGCCCACUUAAGCAGUUUUCUAUCAAGAAUAUUUAUAACUUAGAGCCCUAAAAUUGAUUUAAUCUGCCUACAUACUUAUAUAUACAUAUCUAUUCUACAUAACUACUGUACAUCAGUACUCUUUGGUCUCACUCACACAUUAAAUUCUAAUACCUCUUGAAAUACUAAUGUUCUUCCUUGCUCUUUGUUAGCCCCAGCCUCUGGUUGAAUAGAAAGGUGCAUCACGGCUUCUCCUCUGGGUUGUCUACCCAUUCAUGUUUGAGGGCAAUACUGAGGCCAUACGGAAAUUAUUCUGACUGCAAGAACUAGUCACAAAGAGCAGAUCUGUGGAAGGUGUUCAGGGGAGAAGACAAGGGUGACACAUGAGUCUAGAGAAAGUCUGGGAUGAAAGGAAGAGGCUGGGAACAAAUCAGUUAACACUGAUUGCCACUCACUGUGGUGCUUUCCCCUGUUCCUUGAAUUUUGCUUUGUAAAGAAUAAAUUUGUAUUUGUUUA